AUUGAACGCUGGCGGCAUGCCUUACACAUGCAAGUCGAACGGCAGCAUGGAGAGCUUGCUCUCUGAUGGCGAGUGGCGAACGGGUGAGUAAAGCAUCGGAACGUACCGUGUAGUGGGGGAUAACGUAGCGAAAGUUACGCUAAUACCGCAUACGCACUGAGGUGGAAAGCAGGGGAUCGUAAGACCUUGCGCUAUACGAGCGGCCGAUGUCAGAUUAGCUAGUUGGUAGGGUAGAGGCCUACCAAGGCGACGAUCUGUAGCGGGUCUGAGAGGAUGAUCCGCCACACUGGGACUGAGACACGGCCCAGACUCCUACGGGAGGCAGCAGUGGGGAAUUUUGGACAAUGGGGGCAACCCUGAUCCAGCCAUGCCGCGUGAGUGAAGAAGGCCUUCGGGUUGUAAAGCUCUUUCGGCCGGGAAGAAAUCGCACAGGCUAAUACCCUGUGUGGAUGACGGUACCGGCGUAAGAAGCACCGGCUAACUACGUGCCAGCCGCCGCAGUAAAAC
rnacentral:rRNA from 1 species